CAAGAGGAUAGAAAAUCAUAUACUUUAACAUAUUGGCAUUAGGCUUUACAUUUGUUUCACCAUGCUAUCAUUUUGGUUUUCUCCAGGUCAACUAAAGCUGAUCGACACAGUAGAGAAUUUUUAAGCGAUCUAAAUGAUGACCAACUAGAAGAACAACUGAUUAGAUCGAGCCAAAGGCUUGAAGAACUCAACAAAGAGAUUCUGCAGAUGGAAGAUAAGUUAGAAGAGAAAGGAAAAUCUUUUUUGCACUUGCAGCAGAAGUCCAAGAAAUUGGAAGACUCUUUGAUUAAUGCAAAGAAAACCUCAUCAUACAAUAAGACACAGUUGACCAAGCUUCACAAAUGUUUUCUGCAAGUAAAAGAUUAUACGAAAAGACUUAAAAGCAGUGAAAAACAA